AUGCAGAUUUUUGGGAAAUGGUCCUUGCUAGCCAUGAGUAAUAACCGACCAGGUAAAAUCCAUUUAAUUAAUAUUUAUUUCAUUCAGUCUGGUCUUGUUCUCAUGUUUGUCUUGUCCUGUUUGGUUUGUGUCCCAUUAACAUUCAUUAUAUAUCUUGAUACUCUAUGUGUAUCAUUAUAUUUACCAGGUCUAAGGACUUUCAAUGAGCUCUUCACUGAAAAUAUCUGGUGGGAAUUCUUGCCCGGGGAACUCCACAACAAAAUCAAUGCCAACAGUUAUGCCAAAAUUGUAGAAUGUGGUCGGUACAACGCCACUCUAACUGUGGAAGGCAACCAGCUGAGCUGGACGUACAUUCCAUCACUGUCUUCCACUGCUGUGUUGCUGCCUACCUGUCCGGACUGUCUGGUGACCCUGAUAACCAGCACCAUCAAUGGAAACGUCUACACUGCUCUGAGAAUCUUCAGUAAGAGAAGAGUGCUCACUGAUGCCGAAAUGCUGGAGUUUGAUACGCAGGUUGAAUGUCUCAACUUACCAGCUAGAUACACCUUCAGCACUGAAGAAGAUCUCUGUCCAGCCACCUCUAAACAAUAUCCUGACGUGACCGAUUUUAAGAAGAGUCUAGUGGACUUCAUGGAGAUAUAUCCAGUGAAAAAGCUGUUGAGAACAACUGAUAAUUUCUUCGAAAAGAGAUACAGUGCAGUUGUAUUGAACUGUUUUCAACGUGUUGGUCAGACAUUUGGUAAACUGAAGGACUGGUUUUUCAGCUUCCUGUAGGUUUUCAGUCCAACCCUAACCUCACAUAGCUGAUUCACCUGAUUAAUGUCUUUGCGUCAAACAUGCAGAAUCAGAUGUGCUUGGUUGCCUGUCAUCUUCAAGAACAGUUGAAUGUUCUGAAGGUGUUCCAAGAACCCCUUAUUAUGUGAGGAGCUCUAGAACCCUUUGAUCUUUGAAUGGUUGCUCCAGAAACCCACCAUGAAUGAUUCCAUCAACAUUUACAAUUAAAUUGAUUGUGACAACCCAAUCUGCUGUUUGUUAACCGUUUUUAACAUAGAAUAACUGAUUGCAUAAGUAUUCAACCGUUAGGGUUGACUGAAUAGAGAUAUUGUUACUGGUGUGAUUUAUGUAAUGGAACCAUCUAGAAAUAAAUUGUGCCUCAA
ensembl:lncRNA